rnacentral:RNase_P_RNA from 1 species
CAACACAGAGCGCCAUACUUCCUAACGGGAAGCCGUCCUUAGUGCAGUGGGGACGAGGGAAAGUGCCACAGAAAAAAACCGCCCUGCCAGUCAGGGUAAGGGUGAAAAUGUGAGGUAAGAGCUCACAAUCGAUGCAGGUGACUGUGUUGAUGGGUAAACCCUAUGGGUUGAAAGACCAAAUAUACCGGGGCUAUCAGGGCUGCUCGCCCAAUCCCGGAGGGUAGGUCGUUAGAGGCAGGGUGCAAAUCCUGUUCCAGAUAAAUGACAGGGAACUUUUCCAUUAGGAAAUGUACUUACAGAACCCGGCUUACAGGCCCAACUUGCUG